rnacentral:rRNA from 1 species
UACGUAGGGUGCGAGCGUUGUCCGGAAUUAUUGGGCGUAAAGGGCUCGUAGGCGGUUUGUCACGUCGGGAGUGAAAACUCGGGGCUUAACCCCGAGCCUGCUUCCGAUACGGGCUGACUAGAGGUAUGCAGGGGAGAACGGAAUUCCUGGUGUAGCGGUGAAAUGCGCAGAUAUCAGGAGGAACACCGGUGGCGAAGGCGGAUCUCUGGGCCGAUACUGACGCUGAGGAGCGAAAGCGUGGGGAGCAAACAGG